UACGGGGGGAGCAAGCGUUGUUCGGAUUUACUGGGCGUAAAGGGCGCGUAGGCGGUCAGUGCAAGUCAGUUGUGAAAUCUCCGGGCUUAACUCGGAACGGUCAACUGAUACUGCUCGACUAGAGUGCGGAAGGGGCAACUGGAAUUCUUGGUGUAGCGGUGAAAUGCGUAGAUAUCAAGAGGAACACCGGUGGCGAAGGCGGGUCUCUGGGCCGUUACUGACGCUGAGGAGCGAAAGCAUGGGGAGCGAACAGG
rnacentral:rRNA from 1 species